rnacentral:lncRNA from 1 species
UUGGCAACCUUUUUGAGUUCAACGAUGCAUGAGAACCAUAACAAUCAAACAAUAAUGGUUUCGUUUAAAUUAUAGUCGAUAUCAUAAACAAAUUAUGAACACAAAUGAGAUUGCAUUGAAAGGCUAUAAUUUUUUUGUUUGGGGUUCAGCAGUUACUGGAAAAUCCUACUUGGAAAAGAAAUUCAAAAGAAAAACUGGAAUAUGAGGGUGAACAUUGUGUAGUUUACAUGCUUUACAAGUAUUGUAUGUCAAGUAUAUAAAGAUGCAUGUACAAUUUAUAAAUUCACUGGGAUUUAAGAUGGUAGAUAUGGACCUUCAGAAAUACUCGAUGUGCUUAUGAAUAAUAAGAAGUAUGUUGAUGUUGUUCAAAAGAUUAAAAUAUGUGAAGUUUUGAUUGUUGAUGAAUAAACAUUUAACUCUAUCAACAAAGAAGACUGAAAUUGCCUGACAAACGUUUUGGAGGCAUACAUGUUAUAUUUGUGACAAACAUUUGGAGUCAUACAAGUUAUAUUUGUGACAAACUUUUUGGAGGCAUACAAGUUAUAUUUGUAGGUGACUUUUUCCAAUUACCACGAAAGAGUGAUGGUUAAGGGGACACACGUAGUUCUUCUGACAAACUAAAGCGAAAUACUUGUAAACGGAGCACAAGUAUUGUAACCAACUUAGAUCAUUAUGGCCCCAUACUUCAAUUUUCGCUGCCGAAUCUUACACAUCGGGUGGAAAAGAUGAAAUUUAUAGGUAAUAAAUGAAGUCCUCAAGUCUAUAUGAAGUUAUAGCAUGUAGUGAUAGAAUGCCGGGUCAUUUGAAGGCUGGUCAGUAUGGUGCUGCACUGUCAGGGGACACUUCCUCAGCAGGACUGAGAAUAGUUAAAUUUCCAAGAACGUUAUAUCACAUCACCAAGUAAAAGAGUUCAUGACUGAUCUACCAGCAUCACAGCCCUUAACAGAGUAUACAUGUUGUCGAGAAAGACAAUGAUUAUCACCAACAGAACAGGAUUCUUUAAUUGAACUUUGAGCCUGAUAAAAUAGAUUCCACAACAGAGAUUUCAGACGAUGCUAACCUUGAUGAUGAUUUCAGUGAUAUCAUAGCACCCAUAGAUAAUGAAGUGGAUGAAUGCAAAGGAAUUGAAAUUCAAGCAGAGUCCAGUUUGGACCUUGAGAAAACAAAAUCUGGAGAAGUAACAGAAUUUCAUAAGAACUAUAAUAGUACUAUUUCAAACAUUGAAGAUGAGAAACAUAAGCUUCUGGUAAAAAAAAAACUCUUAAGACAAUUUCAAAACUUGAAUAUGUGGCCUUGAAAGAGUUGUAAUGAACUCUUCUUAUUUACGUACCUCAUCAAAACACAAUGAUUAGGGGCCAGCACAUUCUUAUUUUUUCCAGGAAGCAGACUAUAAAGUGACGCAAUACGCUUCAAACUUUCUUCACUGUCGUGUUAAAUUAAAUUAGUAUAAACAAAA